GUCUGAUCCUCGGAUGGGUCCAGUGGUUCUGCCAUAGGGUAGAUUAGUUCAUCUCUUAUCGGUGGGUUAAUUACAUCUUCGAUGUCUACGGAGUCUUUCGCAAUAAUUGUCAGUUGGAAUUUUUCCGCCCACCUUUCCCAGUCAUGUUGAUUUUCGUAUGAUGAGUUGUUCCAAAAAAACUCUAGUCCGCGUAGGUUUGAUUCAUUCGACUGCGCCAUGUUAAAAAAUUAGGAUACCACUCGUGUUGUAAAAGAGUGACUUAAACUAAGAAUAGAUUAAGACUGUGGAUGAUUAAGAUUCCUACUAAAAUUGUAGGCUUUUAUUUAAGACUAAAUAAAAGACGGGGAUUCUAUCUAAGUUAAGAGAGGUUUAAAAGAUUGAAUUGGUUGCGAUUGAUUUGUUACGUAUCAUAAAAGAUAGUGUCCAAUUCAGAGUCUACCAAAAGCCGUUGCGCUUUUGGCAGGUAUAUAAAUUAACAACUUAAAGGUCGAUGGUAAGUUAAGAUCAGAGGUUAAAUAAACAAACCAUAAUACUUUUACAACUUUAACUUGUUGUCUUUGGCUGUCAGAAACUGAAAAUUAAGGACAUGCGUUGGCCUCUUUGCAACCACGUGCUAUAUUUCUCAUGAUUUCAAACCAUUUUGACCACCUAUGCUUUUCGCUUUACCAAGAGAUUACCCACUAAGGCGACGAAGACAAAAACUGACAAAUAUUGCCCAAUCAUUAUUCUGCAGCAGCUUUAUAUAAGGUCGUGAAUUAGUUUUCUGUUUCCUGAUUUGCUUUUCGAGGAUAUCUCAGAUCUGUCAAAGAGCCAUCCCGUUGUCCAUAUAAGUAUAUAAGCUUAGUACUGACGUCAUCAAUAACAGUGACUCAUAUAGAUCCACAGAUUAGUCUAUCUAUAUACAUGACUAUGGCGCUGGUGUGCUUUGACAAAUUGCGGGCCCAGCUGGAGCAGCACAAGUGUCAGAUGGAGUACCACCAGACAGAGGCAGAACAGAACAAGUGUCUCAUGCAACAACAUGCCGCUCAGAUGGAAGCCCACAGGAUAGAGAUGGAGAAGCACUGUUGUGCGUGGAAGCAGCACGCCGCCGAAAUGGAGUUUCACCGGGAGAGAAUAGAAUGUCUCACGGCUGAGAUGAACGGAUUCGCACA